AUGAUAGCUGAGUACAGCGUUGCGCCGCGUGGCUUUGCUAGGCUGGUCGAGGAUCUUCCUCCCACAAAAAAGCCUGGCAGGCUCCGGUUACGCCUCUCACAUUCAAACCCUUGACUACAUUACCAUUGUUGCUUUGGCGGGCCGCCCCUCGGGGCGUGGGCCUCGGCUCACCGCGCCCGCCAGAGGACCAAAACUCUUGUGUUUAGUGAUGUCUGAGUACUAUAUAAUAGUUA
rnacentral:misc_RNA from 1 species